CGGCUCAGUAACACGUAGUCAACCUAACCUAUGGACGGGAAUAACCUCGGGAAACUGAGAAUAAUGCCCGAUAGAACACUAUACCUGGAAUGGUUUGUGUUCCAAAUGAUUUAUCGCCGUAGGAUGGGACUGCGGCCUAUCAGUUUGUUGGUGAGGUAAUGGCCCACCAAGACUAUUACAGGUACGGGCUCUGAGAGGAGUAGCCCGGAGAUGGGUACUGAGACACGGACCCAGGCCCUAUGGGGCGCAGCAGGCGAGAAAACUUUGCAAUGUGCGAAAGCACGACAAGGUUAAUCCGAGUGGUUUCUGCUAAAGGAACCUUUUGUCGGUCCUAGAAACACCGAUGAAUAAGGGGUGGGCAAGUUCUGGUGUCAGCCGCCGCGGUAAAACCAGCACCUCAAGUGGUCAGGAUGAUUAUUGGGCCUAAAGCAUCCGUAGCCGGCUCUGUAAGUUUUCGGUUAAAUCUGUACGCUCAACGUACAGGCUGCCGGGAAUACUGCAGAGCUAGGGAGUGGGAGAGGUAGACGGUACUCGGUAGGAAGGGGUAAAAUCCUUUGAUCUAUUGAUGACCACCUGUGGCGAAGGCGGUCUACCAGAACACGUCCGACGGUGAGGGAUGAAAGCUGGGGGAGCAAACCGGAUUAGAUACCCGGGUAGUCCCAGCUGUAAACUAUGCAAACUCAGUGAUGCAUUGGCUUGUGGCCAAUGCAGUGCUGCAGGGAAGCCGUUAAGUUUGCCGCCUGGGAAGUACGUACGCAAGUAUGAAACUUAAAGGAAUUGGCGGGGGAG
rnacentral:rRNA from 1 species